GGUGAGGUGGCCGAGUUGGUUAUGGCGCCAGGUUAAGGUCCUGGUGGGGCAACCGCGCGAGUUCGAGUCUCGUCCUCAUCA
rnacentral:tRNA from 1 species